rnacentral:tRNA from 1 species
GCCGGGGUGACGGAACCAGGUCAACGUGCUGAUCUGAAAAGCCAGUUGACUUUGUACCUCAAAGUCAUGCGGGUUCAAAUCCCGUCCCCUGCU